AACGAACGCUGGCGGCAGGCUUAACACAUGCAAGUCGAACGAGAUCUUCGGGGUGAGUGGCAGACGGGUGAGUAACACGUGGGAACGUACCUCUUUGUUCGGAAUAGCUUUUGGAAACGAAAGGUAAUACCGGAUACGCCCUUUUGGGGAAAGAUUUAUCGCAGAGAGAUCGGCCCGCGUCUGAUUAGCUAGUUGGUGAGGUAAUGGCUCACCAAGGCGACGAUCGGUAGCUGGUCUGAGAGGAUGAUCAGCCACACUGGGACUGAGACACGGCCCAGACUCCUACGGGAGGCAGCAGUGGGGAAUAUUGGACAAUGGGCGCAAGCCUGAUCCAGCCAUGCCGCGUGAGUGAUGAAGGCCUUAGGGUUGUAAAGCUCUUUUGUCCGGGAAGAUAAUGACUGUACCGGAAGAAUAAGCCCCGGCUAACUUCGUGCCAGCCGCCGCAGUAA
rnacentral:rRNA from 1 species